AUGGGGGGGAGCGCGGGGCUCCCAGGCGCGGGCGGGGCGCGGUUCCACGCGGGGAGGGUGGGGGGGGGGCAUUGCGAGCGCCGUAGGGGCACCGUGCGGAACUCGCCGCCCCCCCGCAGCCGCACCCCGGUCCCGGUUCCCCGUUCCCACCCCACGCUCACGGGGUCGCCGCUCCGUCCCGGCACGGCCCCGCCGCCCCCGGCCCACGCAGUCCGACCCACGUGCGCGGCCCCGGUGCGCCCCGGAACCCCCCGUCCGGCUCCGCAGCCCGUCCCGCUCGGGACCCCCCCGCGUCCCGGCGCCGUUCCCUCACCAGUUGGUGGCCGCCCGCGGGUUGCCCACGUCCUCCCGUGCCGCCAGCAGCGCCAGGCGGUGCCGCUCCAGCCCCGGGGCCCCCAUGGUUCUCCCACGGCCCCGCACCGCCCGGCAGCUCCUGCGCGGCCCCGCCCCGGUCUUAGAGGUGGGGAGGGACCGGCGGCACCGGGCGGGACCCGGCGGGGCGGGCGGCACCGGGCGCGGAGCCAAAGCCGGGCGGGGCGGGGGGGGCACCGUGGGUCCCGCGUGGCGCGGGGUGCGGGGGCGGGGCGGCCCCACGCGGUCCCGUGGGCGCGGCGUUCGGACCCGCGAUGUAAGGCGAGGCGGUUCGGGGCCCCACGCGGUGCCGCGUUGCGGUGCGGGGCCCCACGCCGGGACGCGGGGAACCCACGCGGGGCCGCCCCCACCCGCGGCCGCCCGGCGCCGCUUCCCUUAUUUGGUCACCGCGGCCUCAAACCCCAAAGCCCCGAGAGAGCGAAAAAAUGCGCGGCGGCGGCUGAGGAUGGGGGGGGGAGGAGGGGGGCAGAGCGGGGGGCUCCGUGGCGGCCGGGGCUGAGAUCCCACGGGGCCGCGUCCCCGCGGCGUCCCGUAGCCAUCAGUGCUGCGUGUCCCCAUCCGUGCCCCGUGUCCCGCUGUGCCCCGCGUCCCCACCAGCGUCCCCCGUCCAUCAGUGUCGCGUGUCCCCGCAGUAUCCCGUGUCCCAUCUGUGUCCCACGUCCAUCAAGUGCCCCGUGUCCCAGCAGCGCCCCACGUCCCCACCAGUGCCCCAUAUCCAGCGGUGUUGAAUGUCCCGGUCCGUGCCCCCCGUCCUCGUAUUGCCCCGUGUCCCCGUCAGCGUCCCACAUCCCGACCGCCCGUGUCCCGGCAGCGCCCCAUCCUCGCUGCCACGACUUCACUGCGGGCUCCGCGCUGCGCCCCUGGGCCCCGCUGGCGGCUGCCAGCACGUGGAGGGCCGGGCCGGGGAAGCGGCGCGGUGCGGGCACGGCCCCGGGGGGCGGACACGAGGGGUCGGGGCUGCCGGUCCCCGCCGUUCCGCCACGAGCCCCACGGCGACCCCCGCAGCCCCGGCGGCGCUUCGUGCCCCCGGUGUCACGGAAGCUUCCGGGUGUCCCCGCCGUUCCGGCUGUCACUUGCGUCCCUACGGCCCCACUUCCCCCUGCUGCGCCCGCGGCCCAGCGUCGCCGGUGUCCCCGCGACGCCCCUCCCGUCCCGCUGUCCCCGCGUCCCUCCCGUCCCUCUGUCCGUCCCUCUGUCCGCCCCCUCCGGCCGCGCUCCGCGGGUGAGCGCGCAAAGGGGCGUGGCCUAUCGGGUAACCCCGCCCACGAGGGGGCGUGGCCUCCGGCGCGGCUCGGAGCGGGGGGCGGUGGCGGUCACGUGUUCGCGGCGCCCCCUGGCGGCGCCCCUUUGUCCGCGCGCGGGCGGGGCAGCGCGGGGGCGCGGCUCGGAGCGACCGAGGGGGCGUGGCCCUAA
ensembl:lncRNA